UACGUAGGGGGCGAGCGUUAUCCGGAUUUAUUGGGCGUAAAGGGUGCGUAGGCGGUAUGUCAAGUCUAAAAUCAAAGCCCGAGGCUUAACCUCGGUUCGUUUUAGAAACUGGCAAACUAGAGUGCAGUAGAGGCAAGUGGAAUUUCUAGUGUAGCGGUUAAAUGCGUAGAUAUUAGAAGGAACACCAGUGGCGAAGGCGGCUUGCUGGGCUGUAACUGACGCUGAGGCACGAAAGCGUGGGGAGCAAAUAGG
rnacentral:rRNA from 1 species